rnacentral:rRNA from 1 species
AAUAGAUACCCCGGUAGUCCACGCCGUAAACGAUGUCGACUUGGAGGUUGUGCCCUUGAGGCGUGGCUUCCGGAGCUAACGCGUUAAGUCGACCGCCUGGGGAGUACGGCCGCAAGGUUAAAACUCAAAUGAAUUGACGGGGGCCCGCACAAGCGGUGGAGCAUGUGGUUUAAUUCGAUGCAACGCGAAGAACCUUACCUACUCUUGACUAUCCAGAGAACUUAGCAGAGAUGCUUUGGUGCCUUCGGGAACUCUGAGACAGGUGCUGCAUGGCUGUCGUCAGCUCGUGUUGUGAAAUGUUGGGUUAAGUCCCACAACGAGCGCAACCCGUUAUCCUUUGUUGCCAGCGAUUCGGUCGGGAGCUCAAAGGAGACUGCCAGUGAUAACUGGAGGAAGGUGGGGAUGACGUCAAGUCAUCAUGGCCCUUACGAGUAGGGCUACACACGUGCUACAAUGGCAUAUCAAAGNGAAGCGACCUGCGAGAGCAAGCGGACCUCAUAAAGUAUGUCGUAGUCCGGAUUGG